GGGGGAGGUGCUUUGUUUCUGGUCCCAGUGUUUUUGUCUUCCUGCUGUUCCAGCCUUUCUGACUUCGAAGGGGAAAUCAGAGUGUGGGCUGUCCUCACCACUUUCCGCAGCUCCCAGAUGAAGAAAGCUUUAUUUGCACACGCACUUUGGACAGUUGUAAGCAGAAAAUGACCAUUAAAAUAAGCAGGCACAGUUUCAACACUGGGUCAGCAUUAAGCAACACUCACAGUGAGAAGACAAAACAAACAAACGGGCUCACCUCAUUUUUCUUGCCAAGUGGGGAAGAGUCAUUUUCUCCCCAAUCCAAGCAGCAUUUUCCUGUUCCUUUCUGUUGACAGCAAUUUGCCUCCUAAGAAGAUGAAAUGCCUUAGAUUAAAAACUUUGAGUAGGAUGCUCCUGGAGGAAGUGGCCCAGAAGCCAUGUCCUAUGAUAAUCACUUUCCAAGGUCAAGUGCUCAAAUCCUUCUCAUUGGAAAUUAGCAGCAUGCAUCCUCCACUCUCAGAGAGCAAAGAAUCCUCUGGAAAUCAAGCCAUCUAAGAUCUGGACACAGCAAGAAUCUAAGGACCUUUCUUCAAGUUGUGAGCUAAGAACAUGAGCAAGAAACAAAGUCCUGCCCUGGCUUCUGGGCUGGGAUACCUUAUCUUCUUGGACACAGAGUCAUGCUUGGACACCAUCACGGUGCAGGCGCCGCAGCCUCCUCUUCCGCAGGCGUACUUGGUUCCUGUGAGACGUACUGGAAGGGACACAGUCAAGGAAAAGGUGCCAAGGCAAACAUUUGCUUUCGGUAUAGCUGGCGCCCUAGGGGGUCACUUCUGAGGAAAGUCUUUUUGAAGGGUGAGUGUAGGUAUGAGAAGCCAUUCACCUGCCUUCCAGUCUUAGUGUGACACUGGGCAUAUUAACCUCUCCCUGCCUGUCUUCUCACAAAGAGGGAGAAGCAAUACCUAUUUUAUCUUCACAGGCUUAUAGUAAGCAUCUUGUAGGAUAAUGGGUGUAAAGCCCUUUGAAAAAUCCUAUUUUAGGCGGGGCAUGGUGGCUCACACCUAUAAUCCCAGCACUUUGGGAGGCCGAGGCAGGCGGAUCACCUGAGGUCAGGAGUUUGAGACCAGCCUGACGAACAUGCAGAAACCCCAUCUCUACUAAAAAUACGAAAAAUUAUCCAGGUGUGGUGGUGCAUGCCUGUAAUCCCAGCUACUCAGGAGGCUGAGGCAGGAGAAUCGCUUGAACCUGGGAAGCAGAGGUUGUAGUGAGCUGAGAUCAAGCCAUUGGAUUCUAGGCUGGGCAACAAGAGCAAAACUCCAUCUCAGAACAAAACAAAACAAAACAAAAACAAAAACAAAAAAAAAAAGAAAAAAGAAAAAUCCUAUUUUAUUAUAGGAUAUUCUUAAAUGUCUUCUUCUGGGUUUCAAUCAUGUAAUUGUAAGAGAGGAAGGUUAUUUUUAGCAACUCAAUUUGUGUUGCAUUUGAAAGCAAAUUGGUAAUUUUUGGAGGAAUCUCCUAUCCUUGUUUACGGAGCCCACCAAGUGUCCCUGUGCUGUGGCUUGGCCUGGGUCCAAUCCCAAACCAGUCCCUUCUCUUUAUUUAUCCUUCUCCCCGACUGUGGUUUAUUUCCAAGCGAUUUAUAGAAUUGGAGGUAAUUAACUAAACUGGCUAAAAAGAUUUCAGAAUAUACAACUCUGUACUGCUAGUGCCUGUUUUUUUUUUUUUUUUUUUUUUUUUUUAACUCUAAGCUUAUUCAUCAAAAUUAAGUCAAAACAUAAAAUGCUUAUCAGAGUGGUAAUGUAAAUGAAGAGGGGGCUGCACGUGACUGGAGAGCUUGGGCCCUUUAGGAAAGGGCUGGAACAGUCCCUGCUCAGUCCUCAGCAAGACUGUUGCCACGCAGGGAUGUCUGUCUCCCCAUUUUUCAAGAGAAGCUGAAAAAUCUUGAUUUUUAAAUAAUAUGAAAUUUUCUAAUUUUUAAACAUCAACAACUAAUUAAAAACCAUGGGCUUUUAAACAAAA